AAAACUACACAAUCAAACAUUUUCCAGCAGGAAUCCUAUCCGAAGUCGAGAAACAUUAACAGCGGCAUCCAAGAUUCCAGGUGUAAUGGCUCCGGAGCAGUACACAAGCUCCAAGAUGCCGACAGGGGCUGGGGGAAGUGUCAUCCAGUCAAUCCCAAAGAAGUCUCCCUCAAUCUUCCAACCAUGGGCCAUUGGUGGUGGAACAUCAGGCUGACUCUUCAGGGACCUUCUGUAUAUGGCUGCCUGCAGAUCUGCAGAGAUGGCUUCUGAUGCUACCUGACCUGAUGUAACAUGCCAUGUCCUUGACCUCCAUUGUGAUGGCUGCUCUCUCGU